CUGAGUGAGGGCCUUCGGGCUCGACCUCCAACCCUUUGUGAACACAACUUGUUGCUUCGGCGGGGGCGACCCUGCCGUUUCGACGGCGAGCUGCCCCCGGUAGGCCUUCAAACACUGCAAUCCUUUGCGUACGGAGUUUAAGUAAAUUAAAACA
rnacentral:misc_RNA from 1 species